CAGAGGUCCCGAGCGUUGUUCGGAUUCACUGGGCGUAAAGGGUGCGUAGGUGGUGAGGUAAGUCGGAUGUGAAAUCUCCGGGCUCAACCCGGAAAUGGCAUUGGAAACUACCUUGCUGGAGGAUUUGAGGGGGGAUUGGAAUACUUGGUGUAGCAGUGAAAUGCGUAGAUAUCAAGUGGAACACCAGUGGCGAAGGCGAAUCCCUGGAAAAUAACCUGACACUGAGGCACGAAAGCUAGGGGAGCAAACAGGGUUAGAUACCCUGGUAGUCCACGCCCUAAACGAUGUCAACUGGUUGUUGGGUCUUUACUGACUCAGUAACGAAGCUAACGCGUGAAGUUGACCGCCUGGGGAGUACGGCCGCAAGGUUG
rnacentral:rRNA from 1 species